GAUGAACGCUAGCGGCAGGCCUAAUACAUGCAAGUCGAACGAGAUUGAGGAGCUUGCUCUUCAUGAAAGUGGCGCACGGGUGCGUAACGCGUAUGCAACCUACCUUAAUCAGGGGGAUAGCCUCUCGAAAGAGAGAUUAACACCGCAUAACAUGAUGAGAUAGCAUUAUUUUAUCAUCAAAUAUUUAUAGGAUUAAGAUGGGCAUGCGGGACAUUAGCUAGUUGGCGGGGUAACGGCCCACCAAGGCGACGAUGUCUAGGGGAUCUGAGAGGAUGGCCCCCCACACUGGUACUGAGACACGGACCAGACUCCUACGGGAGGCAGCAGUAAGGAAUAUUGGUCAAUGGGCGCAAGCCUGAACCAGCCAUGCCGCGUGCAGGAAGACGGCCCUACGGGUUGUAAACUGCUUUUGUACGGGAAUAAACCUUGAUACGUGUAUCAAGCUGAAUGUACUGUAAGAAUAAGGAUCGGCUAACUCCGUGCCAGCCGCCGCCGUAACAC
rnacentral:rRNA from 1 species